CAUCUUGUGAUCAGUCUCGGAGAACACGCUCUUCUGAGUUGGCCCUGCCAAAAAUCUAUCUCUCUCUUCAUCUGCUUGCCAUUAGUCAUUAGCCAAAGAACACUGAGCAGCACUCAAGUGUGACGUCCACACAACCUUUUCUUCUUGUUUGUUGAGCGGCAUCUUGCCUCUGUACACAGUGUCUCCAAUUAGCUGGCCCAAUAGCCAACUCUUGGAACGACCUCCUACGAAACCACAAAGAGAUGUAAUCACAUUGCGUACGCCUCAGACGCUCAACAGUUAGCUUCUAGAGUGGUACAUGAGAUUCAGGGUCAUCAUCCCAACUCAUCUUUCAGGGAGUAAAGGAUUCCCAGACAGAGAUUUGCUGCCAGUUUUCCAUCGCUAUGAAGACCCUUUUCCUUCUCUUGAUUGUGGUCUUCCUGGUGUUUUUUCCUGAUGGAGGAUCCAGCAUGGCAAACAAUAGGAAAAAAUGUAAACGUGAAGGAGGCUUCUGCAUUCAGCCAAAGGGGAAUGUGUGUCUCUACCCUUCAAGGUUUAUCGGAAGCUGCAAUCAUGAACAACUCUGCUGUAAAAAAGGCAUCCAGCUUGCAAAGAAACAAGGCUAAUGACUCAACCAUGAAAAAGAAGACUUUCAGCAGCCACCUUCAUUCCAGUUUUCACUGCAAUUGCGAUCUUCUCUUCAUGCUCUUAAUGAUACUUCGAAGCAAAAAUGGAUCACAGAAAACAUUCUUAUGAGAAAUUCUGCAUUUAAUAAAAGCGAAUC